CAACGAUUUCCAUUCAGCUCAACCAGUCACAAGGAAUCAGCUUAGAAAAUGGAAAAGCCUCGAUGUUCCAGCCAGAGCCUCACCCUCAUCCCCCUCCUUUUCUGCCCCCUCGAACCUGGUUUCCAGAAAGUGCUCUUCUGCUACACCCUGAUGGGCUGUCCUCCCCUUGGUUUCCUGAGUGCUGUGGGGGAUCAUUAACUCCUCUGCAGCUACCGAAACUUAUGAAACAUUUCCUGCAACCGAAUGCACCUUGGUUCCCUGCAGGACAGGCUGGAGCGGGAGUCUGUUUUAGAGGAGCAGGCACGUAGGAGCUGGAGGCCCCUCCCUCCUGAGGGCUGCCUGGGUAGUCCCAGGACCCGCCCUUGGUGCAGAGUCCUGCCUAGAGAAAUUAAUCUCUGGCUCCUGAGGCAGCUUCACUUUUUUUUUUUUUUUUUUUUUGGUGUUCCCUGUCCUGCUUCCCCAGAGGAAGCCAGAAGAAGACCCCAGUUGCCAUGAACUCCGCCGUCACUAGCCGUGAGCACUCCACUUACUCGAGGAGUGAUGUCGUGCUCAGCUCCCAACCUAUGGCCAAGGCAGGAGGACAGAUAGGCAGCCCGGGAGUCCCGCAGCAGCUGCCUGGCCUAUGACAUCUUGGACAUCCUGCCAUGUUAUCUCUGUAUCUUCUUGGGGAUUCAGCACUUCCUCACAGCCCUGGGGGGCCUCAUGGCGGUGCCAUUCAUCCUGGCCAAGGACCUGUGCCUGCAGCAGGACCCCCUGACACAGAGCUACCUCAUCAGCACCAUUUUCUUUGCUCCAGCAUCUGCAUGCUCCUGCAAGUGUUUUUAGGGGUCAGGGUUAAAACAAGAGAAACGCAGGGGUGCAUCCAAGCCGCAGGAACACGAACCAGGGACUCAAAUGCUGCCGGGAUCUUCUCUGUCUCUUGACUCUGCUCAAGCCUGCCCCUAAUAUUUGCAAGACCCUCGGUACAAGUACAAAUGGAGACCCA
rnacentral:lncRNA from 1 species